CCUACGGGGGGCAGCAGUGGGGAAUAUUGCACAAUGGGCGAAAGCCUGAUGCAGCGACGCCGCGUGAGGGAUGACGGCCUUCGGGUUGUAAACCUCUUUCAGCAGGGAAGAAGCGAAAGUGACGGUACCUGCAGAAGAAGCACCGGCUAACUACGUGCCAGCAGCCGCGGUAAUACGUAGGGUGCGAGCGUUGUCCGGAAUUAUUGGGCGUAAAGAGCUUGUAGGCGGUCUGUCGCGUCUGCCGUGAAAAUCCGAGGCUCAACCUCGGACUUGCG
rnacentral:rRNA from 1 species